rnacentral:ncRNA from 1 species
GUCGGCGUGGUGACCGUGCAGCCGCACGCCGUCGGCCUGACCAGCGAACUGCCCGGCCGCCUGGAAGCCACCCGCGUGGCCCAGGUGCGCGCGCGCGUUGCAGGCAUUGUGCUCAAGCGCAGCUACGAGGAAGGCCAUGAUGUGAAGGCCGGCCAGCCGCUGUUCCAGAUCGA